AAUGGAACCGCUUCUGACAACUAACACCAUACCUCUUGUGGAAGUCAUACCAUUGGUAACAUUUACUUCCUUAUUAAUUGAGAUUCCAACACGCGUCGAAGCCAUUGUUGAUGCAGUUGAAGAGCUAGCUAACAAGGCUAAGUUCAAGCCUGCUCCUGAUGACAAACCAAAACAGAAUGAACAAAACAACAAAACUGUAUCUGAACAACUAAACGAUGAAAAGACAAUGAAGACCCUUCAGAGCGUCUGAGUUUUAUCUAAUUGUUUGUUAGCAGUAAUUCUUCACUUAGAAUGUAUAAAAUGGGGUAAAGGCUGCAGCGAAUUGAACGCUAGGCCAGAAAUUCCUGUGCUAAAUCAGCCCAUCUCCUGAUGAUAUAUAUAUAUAUAUAUAUUUCUGUCAAUGAGCAUAAUAGAACUUCAGUUAACAUGCGACACCAGGUUCAGGGAGUACAUCUACACAACACAUUGUUUCCAAUUUGAUCUCCAUGUUGGGAUUGUCCUAUUAAUUUGACAACAGCAAUUGUACUUGAUGCAAACUCUAAACCAUUCCGGUACUAAUUGAUCAAAGGAUCUUUCUUUUAGGUAGUCCAACUCAAAACUCUAAAAGAUCUUAUCAUUGGUAUAAACUGGUACAUAAAGGAGGCAAUAUGACUUCUACGUGUGAAAUGCAUUCUGUUCCAAACUUUUUCCUGUUUUAAGAAUCCAAGAAUAUGGAGAUUUGUCGCUAACAAGAUUUGAUAAUAUUCGCAAGAGGAAACUGAAAAUAUUACUCAUGGCAACGAUUAGCACUUCUAAGCUGAAAUGUUGUACCCUAUUUUGCAUCUGUUUCUAUUAGCUAAAGGAACAGAUUAACGGAAACAGUCCCUUUAGCUUCUGCAAGAUCCGAACUUGCAAGGAUGAUAUUGUAUUGCCCAAGGUAUCGUUGUUUUCUUCGUUGGGUUGGACUGGUAAUUUUGCUUUAGGUUUUCUCGGGUAAAUGUCCAAGGCAAUAGAUGUAAUACAACGGACUAGGAUGCAGGCUAAAGUUACAAAAUUUCACAGGAUUCCAUGGAGUGGAAGUUCCUUCUCAUUAAAAUCAAUCGAGUACACCAGGUUCAUGAAAAUAAUCAAACAACAAUGGCAUAGAAAUUUUCAAGCAAACGAGAAAAAUAAAAUAAAAUUGCUAAGCAUAACCCACUGGCUAAAUGCAUUAAGAGAGCGGAGGCAGGAAAGUUAUGGAAGAAUAAUGCGGUUGUUUUGCUUCAUUAAUUUGCAAUACGUUGCUGCAGUCGUCGCCAUCGUGGGAUGUGUUGCUAUCCACCACCAUAACUCACUGCUUCGAACUUCGCCAUGUAUAGUGACAGACCUUCAAAGUUGGGUUCUUUUCUUUUUUGAGGGGUGCUUCUGUUUUGAUGCUUUGCAUCUCCUGUUAUGAUGUACUCAGUAUAAACAAUUUUUCAUCGUUCAAUUUCUUCCGUCUUUACAGUUUUGGUCGCUCUCACACCAUGAAAAACGAAAACAGCUUCUUUUUCACAUGCCAGACAGGCAGCCAAAAAGUCACCUCCAUUCUUUGUGGAAGAAACAAGGCAGCCAAGAAACUGUUCGUCC
rnacentral:lncRNA from 1 species